CCUACGGGUGGCAGCAGUGAGGAAUAUUGGUCAAUGGGCGUAAGCCUGAACCAGCCAAGUCGCGUGAGGGAUGAAGGCCCUACGGGUUGUAAACUUCUUUUAUAAGGGAAUAAAGUGAGGCACGUGUGCCUUUUUGUAUGUACUUUAUGAAUAAGGAUCGGCUAACUCCGUGCCAGCAGCCGCGGUAAUACGGAGGAUCCGAGCGUUAUCCGGAUUUAUUGGGUUUAAAGGGUGCGUAGACGGGUUUUUAAGUCAGUUGUGAAAGUUUGCGGCUCAACCGUAAAAUUGCCAUUGAUACUGGCAGGCUUGAGUAAGGUUGAGGCAGGCGGAAUGCGUGGUGUAGCGGUGAAAUGCUUAGAUAUCACGAAGAACCCCGAUUGCGAAGGCAGCCUACUAAACCGUGACUGACACUGAUGCACGAAAGCGUGGGGAUCAAACAGGAUUAGAUACCCGAGUAGUC
rnacentral:rRNA from 1 species